rnacentral:rRNA from 1 species
GACGAACGCUGGCGGCGUGCCUAACACAUGCAAGUCGAGCGAAUGAAGUUCCUUCGGGAAUGGAUUUAGCGGCGGACGGGUGAGUAACACGUGGGCAGCCUGCCUCAUAGAGGGGAAUAGCCUCCCGAAAGGGAGAUUAAUACCGCAUAAGAUUGUAGUACCGCAUGAUACAGCAAUUAAAGGAGCAAUCCGCUAUGAGAUGGGCCCGCGGCGCAUUAGCUAGUUGGUGAGGUAAUGGCACACCAAGGCGACGAUGCGUAGCCGACCUGAGAGGGUGAUCGGCCACAUUGGGACUGAGACACGGCCCAGACUCCUACGGGAGGCAGCAGUGGGGAAUAUUGCACAAUGGGGGAAACCCUGAUGCAGCAACGCCGCGUGAGUGAUGACGGCCUUCGGGUUGUAAAGCUCUGUCUUCAGGGACGAUAAUGACGGUACCUGAGGAGGAAGCCACGGCUAACUACGUG